CCACCUGAUCCCUUCCCGAACUCAGUAGUGAAUCCUCUUAGCGCUGAUGGUAGUGUGGGAUUACCCAUGUGAGAGUAAGUCAUCGCCAGCU
rnacentral:rRNA from 1 species